AAUGGACGAAAGUCUGACGGAGCGACGCCGCGUGCGGGAUGAAGGCCCUCGGGUUGUAAACCGCUGUCAGUUGGGAGGAAUCGUAUGGGGCUAUCCCCAUAUGUUGACCGAUCUUCAGAGGAAGCGCAGGCUAAGUUCGUGCCAGCAGCCGCGGUAACACGAACUGCGCGAACGUUAUUCGGAAUCACUGGGCUUAAAGAGUUCGUAGGCGGCCUGGUAGGUGAGGUGUGAAAUCCCUCGGCUCAACCGAGGAAUUGCGCUUCAAACCACUAGGCUUGAGGGAGGCAGAGGUGAGUGGAACUGAUGGUGGAGCGGUGAAAUGCGUUGAUAUCAUCAGGAACACCAGUGGCGAAGGCGACUCACUGGGCCUCUUCUGACGCUGAGGAACGAAAGCUAGGGGAGCGAACGGGAUU
rnacentral:rRNA from 1 species